rnacentral:rRNA from 1 species
UGGGGAAUUUUGGACAAUGGGGGAAACCCUGAUCCAGCCAUCCCGCGUGUGCGAUGAAGGCCUUCGGGUUGUAAAGCACUUUUGGCAGGAAAGAAACGUCAUGGGUUAAUACCCCGUGAAACUGACGGUACCUGCAGAAUAAGCACCGGCUAACUACGUGCCAGCAGCCGCGGUAAUACGUAGGGUGCAAGCGUUAAUCGGAAUUACUGGGCGUAAAGCGUGCGCAGGCGGUUCGGAAAGAAAGAUGUGAAAUCCCAGGGCUCAACUUUGGAACUGCAUUUUUAACUACCGGGCUAGAGUGUGUCAGAGGGAGGUGGAAUUCCGCGUGUAGCAGUGAAAUGCGUAGAUAUGCGGAGGAACACCGAUGGCGAAGGCAGCCUCCUGGAAUAACACUGACGCUCAUGCACGAAAGCGUGGGGAGCAAACAGG